rnacentral:lncRNA from 1 species
AAGUUUUCUCAAAUGAAUUUAAGUUUCCUAGUCAAAGACUCAUGUUUGGAAGGAAAGAAAUUAAGGUUGGCAUGAAAAGCUUUUGGUAGAUGGAAAAUCUAGACUAGAAAGAUCUCUUAACAAGCUCAAUCAUUCGUAAAUUAAGUUUGAGAAGAUAAAUUUAGUCUAGAACAAGUUUGGAUAAAGAAAGCUAUCUCAAAUAAAUUUUGGCACACCCUUG